rnacentral:rRNA from 1 species
CCGGCGCACGGGUGAGUAACACGUAUGGAACCUGCCCUAUGCAGGGGGAUAAGCGGAAGAAAUUCCGUCUAAUACCGCAUAACACCAUUUGGAGACAUCUCCAGGGGGUCAAAGGAGGCGACUCCGGCAUAGGAUGGCCAUGCGUCGCAUUAGCUAGCCGGCGGGGUAACGGCCCACCGAGGCGACGAUGCGUAGGGGUUCUGAGAGGAAGGUCCCCCACACUGGUACUGAGACACGGACCAGACUCCUACGGAAGGCAGCAG